rnacentral:lncRNA from 1 species
CCUCCCAUAGUAACCAUCAUACUGGAUGUACGAGGCUAGCCCCCCGCUAUAACCACUGUGGCACGGCCCAGCUGCAUGCCCCUGGUAACAAUCCAUACAACACGCUUGGACAUGCGAUGAGGGUCCAGGAUUUAGCAGGCCAACUUUAGGUUUACCGUCAUCUUUAGGCGUACUGUCAUCUUUAGGCUUACCGUCACCUUUAGGCUUGCCGUCAUCUUUAGGCUUACCUUCAUCUUUAGGCUUACUGUCAGCUUUAGGCUUGCCUUCAUCUUUAGGCUUACCGUCAGCUUUAGGCUUGCCAUCAUCUUUGGGUGCUUUGGGCUUGCCGUCAUCUUUGGGUGCCUUGGGCUUCUCGGGCUCUUUGAUCUCAAUGCUUUUGAUGGCACUCCCACCUUUGCAGCAAAUCUUGUCCCUCAUCUUUUCUGGACUGCAGCAUACCACUUUGAUAACCACUUG